rnacentral:rRNA from 1 species
CGAACGGGUGAGUAACGCGUGAGGAACCUGCCUCAAAGAGGGGGACAACAGUUGGAAACGACUGCUAAUACCGCAUAAGCCCACGGGUCGGCAUCGACCAGAGGGAAAAGGAGCAAUCCACUUUGAGAUGGCCUCGCGUCCGAUUAGCUAGUUGGUGAGGUAAUGGCCCACCAAGGCAACGAUCGGUAGCCGGACUGAGAGGUUGAACGGCCACAUUGGGACUGAGACACGGCCCAGACUCCUACGGGAGGCAGCAUG